rnacentral:rRNA from 1 species
UUACACGACCGUACCGCAAACCGACACUGGUGCGCGAGAUGAGUAUUCUAAGGCGCUUGAGAGAACUCAGGAGAAGGAACUCGGCAAAUUGACACCGUAACUUCGGAAGAAGGUGUGCCUUUAGUAGGUGAACCAUUUACUUGGGGAGCCCAAUGAGGCUGCAAAAAAUCGGUGGCUGCAACUGUUUAUUAAAAACACAGCACCCUGCUAAGACGAAAGUCGACGUAUAGGGUGUGACGCCUGCCCGGUGCUGGAAGAUUAAAUGAUGGGGUGCAAGCUCUUGAUUGAAGUCCCAGUAAACGGCGGCCGUAACAAUAACGGUCCUAAGGUAGCGAAAUUCCUUGUCGGGUAAGUUCCGACCUGCACGAAUGGCGUAAUGAUGGCCACACUGUCUCCUCCUGAGACUCAGCGAAGUUGAAAUGUUUGUGAUGAUGCAAUCUCCCCGCGGAAAGACGGAAAGACCCCAUGAACCUUUACUGUAGCUUUGUAUUGGACUUUGAACAGAUCUGUGUAGGAUAGGUGGGAGGCUUUGAAGUGUGGUCGCUAGAUCGCAUGGAGCCAACGUUGAAAUACCACCCUGGUGUGUUUGAGGUUCUAACCUAGGUCCAUUAUCUGGAUCGGGGACAGUGCAUGGUAGGCAGUUUGACUGGGGCGGUCUCCUCCCAAAGCGUAACGGAGGAGUUCGAAGGUACGCUAGGUACGGUCGGACAUCGUGCUAAUAGUGCAAUGGCAUAAGCGUGCUUAACUGCGAGACUGACAAGUCGAGCAGAUGCGAAAGCAGGACAUAGUGAUCCGGUGGUUCUGUAUGGAAGGGCCAUCGCUCAACGGAUAAAAGGUACUCUGGGGAUAACAGGCUGAUACCGCCCAAGAGUUCAUAUCGACGGCGGUGUUUGGCACCUCGAUGUCGGCUCAUCUCAUCCUGGGGCUGUAGCCGGUCCCAAGGGUAUGGCUGUUCGCCAUUUAAAGAGGUACGUGAGCUGGGUUUAAAACGUCGUGAGACAGUUUGGUCCCUAUCUUCCGUGGGCGCUGCAGAUUUGAGGAAGCCUGCUCCUAGUACGAGAGGACCGGAGUGGACGAACCUCUGGUGUAUCGGUUGUCACGCCAGUGGCAUUGCCGAGUAGCUAAGUUCGGAAGAGAUAACCGCUGAAAGCAUCUAAGCGGGAAACUCGUUUCAAGAUUAGAUCUGCCGGGGCCUUGAGCCCCCUAAAGAGUCGUUCAAGACCAGGACGUUGAUAGGUCAGGUGUGGAAGCUAAAAA